AAUGUUAGUAGACUUCGUGGGUAUGGGUUAACCAUGAAUACCAAUGUUAGUGGACUUCGUGGGUAUGGGUUAACCAUGAAUACCAAUGUUAGUGGACUUCGUAGGUAUGGGUUAACCAUGAAUACCAAUGUUAGUGGACUUCGUAGGUAUGGGUUAACCAUGAAUACCAAUGUUAGUAGACUUCGUGGGUAUGGGUUAACCAUGAAUACCAAUGUAAUUGGACUUCAUGGGUAUGGGUUAACCAUGAAUACCAAUGUUAGUGGACUUCGUGGGUAUGGGUUAACCAUGAAUACCAAUGUUAGUGGACUUCGUAGGUAUGGGUUAACCAUGAAUACCAAUGUUAGUGGACUUCGUGGGUAUGGGUUAACCAUGAAUACCAAUGUUAGUGGACUUCAUAGGUAUGGGUUAACCAUGAAUACCAAUGUUAGUGGACUUCGUGGGUAUGGGUUAACCAUGAAUACCAAUGUUAGUGGACUUCGUAGGUAUGGGUUAAGGUGGCUCGGGUGUCUUCCUCCAUCUUGGAUUUUGAAGUAGCAGAUAACGUUGGUCUAGAUAUUUGAUGAAAUGUGCAAAUUUUGAGAGUAGUAUAUAAUUUAUGUAAAAGACUUUUGAUGAAAAUAUAGAAAAUUGUGUGUUUUAUCCUAAUUACAGCUGUAAUUUCUCAAAAACACCUUAUUUGUUUGUGUUUGAUUAGAUUUUUUCAACUUUGCCAAAUAAGGGGAGAUAACUCAGAUAAAGUAAUUUUUAUAAUAGAAAGUGUUGUGAAUUUACCUAUUUUGAUAUGUAGCAAGAAAACAAGUUCGGUGACCCCAUUUUUUUUUUCUUAUAUGAAAGCAUGUUAUAAGAGCUAUCUUCUCACAUUUUAUCUUAAAGUUCUAUCAAGUAGUUUUCUUUUUAUCACACAAAAUUUGAUUUUCUAUGCAUAAUCUAUACAAAAUCUGACAAUUUUGCACGACCUGUAGCGUGAAAAAAAGUCCGGUGGCCCAUACUUUUUAUUAUAUUUUUGAAAAAAGCAUGAUAAAAACUUCAUUUUGACAAAUUAUCAAAAAAUUCUAUCAAUUUUAAUUAAGACUCCCCAGCCACCUUAACCAUGAAUACCAAUGUUAGUGGACUUCGUGGGUAUGGGUUAACUAUGAAUACAAAUGUUAGUGGACUUCGUGGGUAUGGGUUAACCAUGAAUACAAAUGUUAGUGGACUUCGUGGGUAUGGGUUAACCAUGAAUACAAAUGUUCAACAAAGUACAAUUUUUCUAUAGGAUUGUAUGCUGAAUUUGGCAAAAUAAUUAAAACAAAUAUCCACAACUUAUUAUUUAUUCCAAUAGAAUAAAUGAAUCCAUAAUAUAAUUUCUUCUGCCAUUUGCACUACAAACACUUGUCUGUGGCUCUUUCUUUAGCAACUUGAUUAAAUUUCUAAACAGUUUAGAUAUAUGAUACAAAUAGCUACUGUGGUAGAAUCCCUUAAUGAAUUUUAAAUUCCUUUCUACUUCCUCAUGAAACUAUUCAAUCAAAUGAGACGGCCUUUUGGUUUAAUUUUUAUAUUGUGUUACCUGCAUUUGUUUCACAACUUAUUUAUAAAGUAAACUUGAUGCUUUUCUUGUUUCUAUUUAAACAACCAUCAAAUUAUAUCACUGUGAAAUGUUCAUCUAAUCAUUACAAUA